GCGAGGCCCAGGAGAGGCUCGGGCGUGGGGCCGGGUCUCUGGGAGGACCAGGCGACCUCGGCUGCCCCACGGCCCGCGGGCCUGCGCCGGCCCGACACACCCCCUCGGCCGGCCUGGCGGGCGGCGGGGCCCGGGGGGAGCCUGCGGCCCCUCGGGGUGGAAGCUCAGGCCGGGGUGAGGUGUCGCGGCGCUGGGCCCAGCUCUGCACUUGGUCGGCUCGCGAACUUGAGCCGUCGGAGCGGGGGAGGCGCCAACUGGACAGCGCGGGGCCUUGUUCUCUCUGAAAAGUUUGGAUGGGGGGGCGGGGGUCCGGCAGGCGCGGCCUCCGCCCGCGGCUUUAGUGGGCGCUUCUCCGAGCGCCUUUCUGGGGGUCCCGAGGUGCGGAGAGCCCGCGAAUCAAUGGGACGCGCGGGAGGAGGAUGGGCAGGACGGCGGCGGCUCGGCCUGACGUGGCAGACUACCCAGCCCGGUAGGUGGGGCUGGUGUGGGGAGAGGUCACCCUGCUCCCCACCCUGCCCCUUCGAGGACUGGCCUUUACGUUAGGGUGUCCGGGCAGGCCUGUCCUUAGAGUCCUGCUCUAACACGCCAGCUCUCGGGUCCAGCAUCACGCCUGCCACGGGAGGGGGUAUGGGGAGGUCUCUAAUUGAAUUUCGUGGGGCAGUUAAUGCUGCUUUGAGGGACGAUCUAGUUUGUUAAACUCCGAGUGCCUUCAUCUAAUAAUGGGGUUCUCUUCAACCUGCGGCGCGGCGCCGGGUACCGCCGAGGUCUCGUGUGGUCUCCUGUAAUUCCUCACUCCACGUCACCAGUGAGUUGGCGGCUCGCUCCUCUGGAGUACACAUUUCAUGCUCACACUGCUGGGAGGCAGUGAGACAAAUCUUUACCGGCUAGUAGUUGCGGGGUUUUGCAUUUCAUUAACCCUAAAAGUUUAAGAAUGGCGAAUUUUAAAUGAUUUCUUAAAAUUACAGCGUCUUCCUUAAAGAUAUUUUUGAUGCCAUGGCCUUAGUAUAAUAACGUUUGAUGAAUUAAAGAGCUUAAUUUUUGCAGAGACAGUAAAAGAUGGGGUCCCAAAGGACCUGGGUGGCAGAGAUUCCAUUUACCUGACUGAUUUCUAAAUAUUUUCACCUGUCAAGGAACACCACAUCUUUGGCUGCUGUCUUCAGGCCUCACCUGUCUCCCUGGAACAUAGCUGAAAUCCAGGAACUGCAGCUGCUACUUCCCUGGUGGCGCAGUGGUUAAGAAUCUGCCUGCCAAUGCAGGGGACACAGGUUCGAGCCCUGGUCUGGGAAGAUCCCACAUACUGCAGAGCAACUAAGCCCGUGCACCACAACUACUGAGCCUGUGCUCUAGAGCCUGCGUGCCACAACUACUGAGCCCGCUUGCCAUAACUACUGAAGCCCACGCACCUAGAGCCUGUGCUCUGCAACAAGAGAAGCCACUGCAGUGAGAAGCCUGCGCACCGCAACGAAGAGUAGCCCCGGCUUGCUGCAACUAGAGAAAGCCCGUGUGCAGCAACGAAGACCCAACACAGCCAUAAAUAAAUAAACAAACAAAUAAAUAAAAACAAACAUAGCUGCAGCUAUAGAACCACGGGGCUUUUUCUCCUUAGGGUAAGGGAUGAGACAGGUGAGUGAAGAAGAUUCUGUUUUCUUGAACAACUGCCUUAAAGGACCUAUUUUAAAGUGAGGGCAGGGGAGUUGAUCUUGGUUUAGUUUGAACUGGCAUUCUCCGGUGUCUGCCGUUGUCAUGACAGAGGGGUACCCAAAUGAAGUGUGAGUUCCUCAUCUUCCUGAACUAUGACUGCAGCUGGAUCCACAGUAUGCUCAAGUUGUCACUUUAUUGUCUUCAACACUGACCUGGGUAGUGUUGGGAGAACAAGCCUUGGUUUGUAGGUGAAGGAUUUCCUAUCUACAUUUUCCUGUAGGCUGAUAGUUAUUAUUAGUACUGUAUCUAUUGUGCUUAAAGUACUAGUGGAGUUCUGAGCUCCAAGGCUCCCAGCCAUCCUCCCCUAGUCCUCCCCUUCCCUCCUCCACCUAUUGCUUAGAUUGUUGUUAGCUGUUGUCAUGUAAGUUGCAGACUUUUCAUUCUCCUGAAGAUGACUGUAAUGUACAGUGUCCCUGCAUUGCUUGUAAUUGGACAGUUUUUAUAUAUAUGUGUGUGUGUGUGUGUGUGUGUAUGUGUGUGUGUAUAUAUAUAUGUAUAUAUAUACCUUUAUAUUUUGAACUUAUUAGGAGGUAGUUUUUUUGCAAUGAAUGUAUCUAAUUUACAAAAAGCAGCCAUUUUCUUGGCUCUUAAAUGUGUUGAAGUUUUAGGUUUUAAUAUAUUUCAUCUUAAAUUGUCUUAAGUAGUACGCAGUGUCUGGUAUUUUGAUUUAUUGAUUGAUUUUUGUAGUUGCUUUUCCAGAUGUGGGGAGUUUUUUCCCUCUUUCUGUUUUGUUUUUUUUUUGUUUAUUGAAGUGUGGUUGGUUUACGGUGUUUUAGUUUCAGGUGUACAGCAAAGUGAUUCAUAUAUAUAUACAUAUAUAUAUGUGUGUGUGUGUGUAUGUGUAUACAUAUAUAUUCUUUUUAAGAAUCUUUUCCCUUAUAGAUUAUUAUAAGAUAUUGAGUAUAGUUCCCUGUGCUAUACAGUAUGUAAAACUUUUUGUAAAACUUUUUGUAAAACUUGUUGUGACAGUUUAUAUUUUUGAAGCACAUGGAAAAGACCUCCUCUUUUAUUGUCACUGAGUACUUCAGGAAGCUUUUGCCUCACAUUCCCAGCUCCCUCUUGGUAGCAGCUGUCACCUUUGUUCUUUUGAGUGCCAGUCUUGUGAGUAAUCAUUGCUCUCACUUACUGACCACCCACCAUGUGCAAGGCACUGGGGACACAGUCCAGAGCAGCAGCUUGUUGCUGUCAAAGUUUCUGCUCUCAAGAAAGCUGCAAUUUAGUUGAAAUAAUAAGACAUAUAUAAAAAGAUAAAAACACAGGGUAUCAAACCAUUACAGGCAGUAAAUCCUAUGGAUGUGAAGUGGCAAGACCCUAGGGAAGGCUCCCUUAAUUUCCCAACAAGGAGGGUAUAAGACCUCUAUGAGGAAAAGUAUGAAACUUUGCUCAUGGACAUAGAAGGUGACCUUGAAUAUAUGUUCAUACCAAUGUCCUGGAUAGGACCAGGCAGGCUGGUGAGGAAGCAAGAUGAUUUGUCUCCCCAGAUUAACUUACUAAUUCAGAAUAUCAUCAAAGUUAAAAGAUAAUAAACUGAGAGAAGUAAUCUGCAAUAUAUCUAAGUGACAAAAGGUUAAUAUCCAUAAUAAAAUACUCCUACAAAUUAAAAAAAACAAUCUGAUAGAUAAAUGGGCAGUGUUGGCAGUUCACAGAAGAAUAACAGAAGGCCAGUUAAACAUGAAAGAAUGCCUUGCCUCACUAGUAGUUAGGAACCUGGAUAUUAAAAUAGCAGUGCACGCCAUCAUUUGCUGCUGGGUGGGAAAAAGUCAGAGGUUUACAGGAUCUAAUGUAGGCAAGGGUGUGAAGUAAGGCGUAUUCUCAUCUGGUGUUAAGGAAUAUGUAAAUUGGCACAGCCUAUGUAGAGGAAAUUUGAUAGUAUUUCAAAACAAAGUGUUUAUUUUAUCCCAGCAUUUCUAGGGAAUUUGAACUACAGAAAUUGUCUUAUAUGUGAACAAACUAUAUAUAGGUAUAAAGAUGUUUGUUGUACAUAAAUAAAUACAAAACACUGUUUAUAGAUACAAAGAUGUUUUUAUAAGAACAAAAAUUGUACACAACCCAAAUGUCCAUUAGUGGAAGGGUCACACAAAUGACACUAUGGAGCACUAUGCAGCCAUUAAAAAGAAUGAGCCAGAAGUAUUAACAGGAGAAGGUAUAUCUGAAACACUGAGUUAACAGAGCAAAUUGUAAAGCGAGAGAUGGUAUGGCCCCAUUUUAAGGGGCAAACGUGUGGGUACACAUAUAAAUACACAUAUGGAAAGCGGCUUUAACAAAAAGCCUGGAACAUUGCACUUAAAAUGGAGGUGGGAGGGGUGUUAAAAAGGUCCUUUUGAUUCUUAUUCCAUGUAUGUUAGUCCAGUUGUUAUUUUUAAUAAAAUAGCAUGGAUUUCUCUGAAAACAAGAAAAGAUGGCAAAGCGAUACAUAGUAAUAGCUGUCAUUUAUUGAGCAUUUGCAGCAUGGCAGGUAUAGUCAAAAACACGUUUUCCAGUAGUCCCACAAUUUGGCAUAAUUUGUCCCCAUUUGACAGCUGCAGAAAGUGAGGUUUAGGGGGGCCAAGAAUGUAAUGGGCCCUGACUUACCGGUGCAUUCAAGGGCUGAGCUUGAACCCAAACCUUCUGGCCCCAAAGCCUCUGUUUCCCCAAGUCCCAAGAGCUGUGUUAUGAGUCAGGUGCUGACUGUUGGGCUGCUGGUUCCAGGGUAAGUUAAUGGCCUUUAGGAGAGCAUCUGGAUCCUUUGAGACAAUGGGGCAGAGCAUGGUGCCUGGGACCCUUGUUGAAUGCGGCCGUGCAGAUUAUCCUGGUAGUCUGACCUACAGUGCUUGGUUGCAUCCCAGCUGUUGCCAGGACAAAAAUAAUUCAUUGAACGCUUUUCUUUUUGGUUGAGGGCUUUGUUCUAUAAAUACAAUGGGAAUAUGAGAAGUGCAGCUUUUAACCAGCUUAAUUUAAAGUAACAUACAGUGGAGUAUUUAGUUGUAGGCUUUUAUUAAACUUAACUUGGCCCAGUGGGAAAAGACAGGAAUGGUGUUAAGUUUAAUGACUGGUUUCCAUUUUACAAGCUAUACUCCUUACUCUGGGUAUUUGGUGCAUUUGGUAUGGGGAUGUGGCUGUUACAGAAACAUUUAGAGUGAGUGUUCUUGAGAGCUCGUUACCGAUAGCGUUCGCAUGCUUCGGUCUCGACACCGAAACUGACCGUGGGAGCCCCUCUGGCUUAUAGCAGGUAUUCCCCCUGGAAGGAGAUUCCUGCCCCUGCCUGAUCUGUCUUCAGCUGGGAUCCCUGCCUUCCCGGGAAGACAGAACAGUUUUUCUGUUUUAAAGGGAAAAGCUGCUACCUGCUAAUCAGGAUCCCAGGCCAGGAAGAAUAGGGUAAAACUGUGUAAGCACACUCAGGUUUCCAGCAUGGCGGUUCCUGCAUGGAUUCUGCACCACGGGACAAGCUGCAGGCCACUCGCUGCCUGUCCCCUGCUCCUCUGCCCCACCCUCUGGCUGGCAGUAAAUUAGGGCAGA